GGAAGUGGUCUCUGGGUGACCCUGCGUUCUACACAGGAAGUGAUUCACAGUAUCGUAACUGGGCACAGGGACAACCAAAUGAAGAUGAAGACUGUAGUAUUAUGAAUUCUGGAGGAUGGAAUGAUUAUAAUUGUACUCAACCCUUGAAAUUCAUAUGUUACAAUGACAGCAGUAAAGGACACAUCCCUGUUCAUCAGUCAGUGAUUUGGAGAGAAGCUCAGAGUUUCUGUAGAGAUCAUCACACAGAUCUGGUCAGUGUGAGGAACCAGACUGAGAAUCAACAGAUUGAGAAGAUCAGAACUGACGGAGGGAUGUCUGGAGUCUGGAUCGGUCUGUUCAGAGACUCAUGGGAGUGGUCCAAUCAGAGUGAAUCUUCAUUCAGAAACUGGAGAACAAGUGUUCCUGAUAAUGUUGGGGAAAUGAAAACUGUGCAGUGCUUUGGGUCAAGACAGAACGUGGACGAUGGGAUGACUUGAACUGUGAUAUAAAAACUCAGUUUGUUUGUCAUGAAGAACUGGGCUGCAGGUCACGGGACAGGACAGGAAGAUUGCAGUGUUGGACCGAGAGUUGGAGCAGUUCAGUCUGGAUGGGUCUUCCUCAAACUCACAAACUCAACUUCAUCUGCACCAACUCUCAAGACUGAAUCAUCGUCAUCAUCAGCAUCAGCAUCAUCAUCUCAUCUGUCCUCUGUGGAGCCACAACAUUUCACCAUGUUUGAUUUCCAUUUGAAACUAUAUUAUUAUUAUUUUAUAAAUAUGUCCAUUUAUUUAUAAAAUAAAUAGUUCUUUUAUUAUUGAAGUCCUGAGACGAAUUAUGUGGUUCAGUUCUCUUGAUUCCGAAGUGACGAGAUGAUGGAUACAAACAUUUACACUCUAAUUAAUUUCACUUUGCUUUACUAUUGUACUUUGGAGAUAAUAUUUAGUGCCAAAAUGUAAAUGUGAACUCUCUGUUUAAAAAUGUUUGACAGAAUGUCAGUGAUUGUCUUCUUGGGUUGUUUUGUCAAAUGAAAUACUUUAAAAAGUUUGUUGGGUGACUUUAUUAAUGAGGCUUUAGUUGACUGUGAACCACUUUAAAAUAAUGGGCUUAUGAACAGGAACACUGUGAUUCUUGUGAGUGUUUCUGCUUAGAUUCGUAUGUACAUUAAAAUGUAUGUUCUUCAUCUAAAUAAAAAUGA